GCGCCGCGGUUUGCAGCAUGGGGUCCCAAGGUUCAUAGAUCGAAUGAGAGGAAGAAGAAAGGAAAGGAGAGAAAGAAAAAUAAAGAGACGAUUGAUGGCGGGCCAGAUGAUAGGAGGAGGGACCGUGGGCUGAAACGAGAUAUAGCUGUUGGUUACCACGUGCUAUGAAUCUAGGAGUACAGGGAAUAAACUCCCUCCGUCCCGUAAUUCUUGUCGCCAGGGCAAUUUUACGAAAAGUUUCUCCCGACCAAACCCGUGCUACUCGUCGCCCUCCUCCGACAGAUGCCCCAGCUACGCUGCUUCCCACCGCUGUAGCUGCCCUACUCCCCGCCGCCGCAAUUGCCGCUCGCGUGCCGCAGCUCCCAACUUUCCCCCUCCUCAUAAAAACAUUGAUUUCCUCACCUACCGCCGUGCUUUGCUCCGGCUGCGUUGGAAUCGGCGUCGGCGAGCCCGGAAUCGCUGGAUCCUUACCAACACCAACAAUCUACAGGCUGACGAGCCGGACGAUGACAGGAGAUGCAACAAGCUCCGACUAGUCCGACGACGGGCGACCGGAGAUGCAACAAGCUCCGACUAGUCCGAUGACGGCGACCGGAGGAAUACGACUACGACGUCUUCUUCGUUGUUUCUCCGGUGGAAGACCCGCGCCUACGACACCGUGGCUGGGCUGUCCAGUGGGUCGCGCCUGCUCACUUGGCCUACAGCCCGGGUCUUGUCCACCACCAACGCGGCAACACCUACAGCCUGGGUUGUGAAGCAGUAAGGAAAAUCAUGGAGUAAUCCUAUACCCUGUCUGCUGCUGUUUGUGGUGUGUAUUUGUCUAACUGCUCAAAUAAUUCAGCAUGUGAUGCAUCAUCUACUCAUUCUGUAUAGGAAUAGGAGUAGCCACAACUACAACAGGAGCAAGGGUAACACUAUAACAGUGUCCUUGGAGUAGCAGCUUGAUCAGGGGAGCAGCAGCACGAGCCUGGCGAUACCGGAGAAGGAGGAGGACUAGCUUGACGUCCAGGCAUGCGCGGGAGCUUGAUGAGGACGAGAUCCACCGGAUCUUGGCGGUGUAGGUCCUGGGCGGCAGCGGCGGAGGGGAUCGCGGAGGGAGUGGAUCACGGCGGCGCACGUACUGGGCGGCGGGACACGUACUAGAGGUGAAGGAGCACGUAUUGGAGGUGGAGGAGCACGUACUGGGCGGCGGAGGCACACGAACUGGUGGCGGAGGAGCAUGCCUUGGGUGACGCAGGCGGCAAAUUGGUGGGCGACGGCCUUGGCCUGACGCGCGGAAGCUGGGUCGGUCGGAGGAAGACGGAAUGACCUCUUUGUAAACAAUUACUAGAAGAUACUAUAAGUUUUAAAUUUUUUUUACAUUACACUAUGCUUGCGACAUUAAUUACGGGACGGAGGGAGCACAAAAUAACAUGUUCGUUCAAAACACGAUACAUUUGGUUUGUA